rnacentral:rRNA from 1 species
AGUUUGAUCUUGGCUCAAGAUGAAUGUUGGCAGCAUGCUUAACACAUGCAAGUCAGAUGGGAAGUGGUGUUUCCAGUAGCGGACGGGUGAGUAACGCAUAAGAGCCUGCCCUUGGGAGGGGAACAAUAGCUAGAAACGGCUGCUAAUACCCCAUAGGCUCUGGAGGAGCAAAAGGAGGAAUCCGCCCUAAGGAGGGCUACCGCGUCCUGAUUAGUUAGUUGGUGAGGCAAUGGCUUGCCAAGGCGACGAUUAGUAGCUGGUCCGAGAGGAUGAUUAGCCACACUGGGACUGAGACACGACCCAGACUCCUACGGGAGGUAGCAGUGGGGAAUUUUCUGCAAUGGGCGAAAGCCUUACGGAGCAAUGUUGCGUGAAGGCAGAAGGCCCACAUGUCAUGAAAUUAUUUUCUCGGAGAAGAAGAAAAAUAUGGUAUCUGAGAAUGCAUCGCUUAACUCUGUGCCAGCAGCUGCGGUAAGACAGAGAAUGCAAGCAUUAUCUGGAAUGAUUGGGCGUAAAGCAUCUAUAGGUGGCUUUUCAAGUCUGCCGUCAAAUCCCCGGGCCCAACCCUGGAUAGGUAGUGGAAACUACCAAGCUAGAGUACGGUGGGCAGAGGGAAUUUCCAGUGGAGUGGUGAAAUGCGUUGAGAUUGGAAAGAACACCAACGGUGAAAGCACUCUGCUAGGCCAACGCUGACACUGAGAGACAAGAGCUAGGGGAGCAAAUGGAUUAGAUACCCCAGUAGUCCCUAGCUGUAAACGAUGGAUACUAAGUGUUGUGCGUAUCGACCCGCGUAGUGUUGUAGCUAACGCAUUAAGUAUCCCGCCUGGAGAGUACGUUCACAAGAAUGAAACUCAAAGGAAUUAACGAAUGCCCGUAGAAGCGGUGGAGCAUGUAGUUCAAUUCAAUGCAAAGCAAAGAACAUUACCAGGGCUUGACAUGCCAUGAAUCCUCUCGAAAGAGAAGAGUGCCUCGGGAACGUGGGCACAAGUGGUGCAUGGCUAUCGUCAGCUCAUGU